rnacentral:rRNA from 1 species
CCUACGGGAGGCAGCAGUGAGGAAUAUUGGUCAAUGGACGAGAGUCUGAACCAGCCAAGUAGCGUGAAGGAUGACUGCCCUAUGGGUUGUAAACUUCUUUUAUAUGGGAAUAAAAUGUUCCACGUGUGGGAUUUUGUAUGUACCAUAUGAAUAAGGAUCGGCUAACUCCGUGCCAGCAGCCGCGGUAAUACGGAGGAUCCGAGCGUUAUCCGGAUUUAUUGGGUUUAAAGGGAGCGUAGGUGGAUUGUUAAGUCAGUUGUGAAAGUUUGCGGCUCAACCGUAAAAUUGCAGUUGAUACUGGCAGUCUUGAGUACCGUAGAGGUGGGCGGAAGUCGUGGUGUAGCGGUGAAAUGCUUAGAUAUCACGAAGAACUCCGAUUGCGAAGGCAGUUCACUGGACUGCAACUGACACUGAGGCUCGAAAGUGUGGGUAUCAAACAGGAUUAGAUACCCCUGUAGUC